rnacentral:miRNA from 1 species
ACUGCUGCUGCUGAUGCU